rnacentral:rRNA from 1 species
CAGCCGCCGCGGGAAUACGUAGGUGGCAAGCGUUGUCCGGAAUUAUUGGGCGUAAAGGGCUCGCAGGCGGUUUCUUAAGUCUGAUGUGAAAGCCCCCGGCUCAACCGGGGAGGGUCAUUGGAAACUGGGAAACUUGAGUGCAGAAGAGGAGAGUGGAAUUCCACGCGUAGCGGUGAAAUGCGUAGAGAUGUGGAGGAACACCAGUGGCGAAGGCGACUCUCUGGUCUGUAACUGACGCUGAGGAGCGAAAGCGUGGGGAGCGAACAGGAUUAGAUACCCCAGUAGUCCCUGUCUCUUAUAA